GGGUUGUGAGGUUAAGCGACUAAGCGUACACGGUGGAUGCCCUGGCAGUCAGAGGCGAUGAAGGGCGUGCUAAUCUGCGAUAAGCGCCGGUAAGGUGAUAUGAACCGUUAUAACCGGCGAUACCCGAAUGGGGAAACCCAGUGUGAUUCGUCACACUAUCAUUAACUGAAUCCAUAGGUUAAUGAGGCGAACCGGGGGAACUGAAACAUCUAAGUACCCCGAGGAAAAGAAAUCAACCGAGAUUCCCCCAGUAGCGGCGAGCGAACGGGGAGGAGCCCAGAGCCUGAAUCAGCAUGUGUGUUAGUGGAAGCGUCUGGAAAGGCGCGCGAUACAGGGUGACAGCCCCGUACACAAAAGCGCAUGUGCUGUGAGCUCGAUGAGUAGGGCGGGACACGUGGUAUCCUGUCUGAAUAUGGGGGGACCAUCCUCCAAGGCUAAAUACUCCUGACUGACCGAUAGUGAACCAGUACCGUGAGGGAAAGGCGAAAAGAACCCCGGCGAGGGGAGUGAAAAAGAACCUGAAACCGUGUACGUACAAGCAGUGGGAGCCCCACCACUAAGCCAGUGGUGAACUCCACAUACGCAUCCUUUGCUGAGGAUACGGUUAACGGAGCGAAAGCGACGUUCAACCGCAAAAGAAGCAGAGGGGGCUUAGUGGUGGGGUGACUGCGUACCUUUUGUAUAAUGGGUCAGCGACUUAUAUUCUGUAGCAAGGUUAACCGAAUAGGGGAGCCGGAGGGAAACCGAGUCUUAAUUGGGCGUUAAGUUGCAGGGUAUAGACCCGAAACCCGGUGAUCUAGCCAUGGGCAGGUUGAAGGUUGGGUAACACUAACUGGAGGACCGAACCGACUAAUGUUGAAAAAUUAGCGGAUGACCUGUGGCUGGGGGUGAAAGGCCAAUCAAACCGGGAGAUAGCUGGUUCUCCCCGAAAGCUAUUUAGGUAGCGCCUCGUGAAUUCAUCUCCGGGGGUAGAGCACUGUUUCGGCUAGGGGGCCAUCCCGGCUUACCAACCCGAUGCAAACUGCGAAUACCGGAGAAUGUUAUCACGGGAGACACACGGCGGGUGCUAACGUCCGUCGUGAAGAGGGAAACAACCCAGACCGCCAGCUAAGGUCCCAAAGUCAUGGUUAAGUGGGAAACGAUGUGGGAAGGCCCAGACAGCCAGGAUGUUGGCUUAGAAGCAGCCAUCAUUUAAAGAAAGCGUAAUAGCUCACUGGUCGAGUCGGCCUGCGCGGAAGAUGUAACGGGGCUAAACCAUGCACCGAAGCUGCGGCAGCGAACGUAUCACUUAAAGCGAUUCAGCGGGUUACGAUUGACGGAGCGAAGCGACGUCAAAGCGUAUACAAAGUCGAGUCGGUUUAAGGAUACGUUCGUUGGGUAGGGGAGCGUUCUGUAAGCCUGUGAAGGUGGCCUGUGAGGGUUGCUGGAGGUAUCAGAAGUGCGAAUGCUGACAUAAGUAACGAUAAAGCGGGUGAAAAGCCCGCUCGCCGGAAGACCAAGGGUUCCUGUCCAACGUUAAUCGGGGCAGGGUGAGUCGACCCCUAAGGCGAGGCCGAAAGGCGUAGUCGAUGGGAAACAGGUUAAUAUUCCUGUACUUGGUGUUACUGCGAAGGGGGGACGGAGAAGGCUAUGUUGGCCGGGCGACGGUUGUCCCGGUUUAAGCGUGUAGGCUGGUUUUCCAGGCAAAUCCGGAAAAUCAAGGCUGAGGCGUGAUGACGAGGCACUACGGUGCUGAAGCAACAAAUGCCCUGCUUCCAGGAAAAGCCUCUAAGCAUCAGGUAACAUCAAAUCGUACCCCAAACCGACACAGGUGGUCAGGUAGAGAAUACCAAGGCGCUUGAGAGAACUCGGGUGAAGGAACUAGGCAAAAUGGUGCCGUAACUUCGGGAGAAGGCACGCUGACACGUAGGUGAAGUGAUUUACUCAUGGAGCUGAAGUCAGUCGAAGAUACCAGCUGGCUGCAACUGUUUAUUAAAAACACAGCACUGUGCAAACACGAAAGUGGACGUAUACGGUGUGACGCCUGCCCGGUGCCGGAAGGUUAAUUGAUGGGGUCAGCGCAAGCGAAGCUCCUGAUCGAAGCCCCGGUAAACGGCGGCCGUAACUAUAACGGUCCUAAGGUAGCGAAAUUCCUUGUCGGGUAAGUUCCGACCUGCACGAAUGGCGUAAUGAUGGCCAGGCUGUCUCCACCCGAGACUCAGUGAAAUUGAACUCGCUGUGAAGAUGCAGUGUACCCGCGGCAAGACGGAAAGACCCCGUGAACCUUUACUAUAGCUUGACACUGAACAUUGAGCCUUGAUGUGUAGGAUAGGUGGGAGGCUUUGAAGUGUGGACGCCAGUCUGCAUGGAGCCGACCUUGAAAUACCACCCUUUAAUGUUUGAUGUUCUAACGUGGACCCGUGAUCCGGGUUGCGGACAGUGUCUGGUGGGUAGUUUGACUGGGGCGGUCUCCUCCUAAAGAGUAACGGAGGAGCACGAAGGUUGGCUAAUCCUGGUCGGACAUCAGGAGGUUAGUGCAAUGGCAUAAGCCAGCUUGACUGCGAGCGUGACGGCGCGAGCAGGUGCGAAAGCAGGUCAUAGUGAUCCGGUGGUUCUGAAUGGAAGGGCCAUCGCUCAACGGAUAAAAGGUACUCCGGGGAUAACAGGCUGAUACCGCCCAAGAGUUCAUAUCGACGGCGGUGUUUGGCACCUCGAUGUCGGCUCAUCACAUCCUGGGGCUGAAGUAGGUCCCAAGGGUAUGGCUGUUCGCCAUUUAAAGUGGUACGCGAGCUGGGUUUAGAACGUCGUGAGACAGUUCGGUCCCUAUCUGCCGUGGGCGCUGGAGAACUGAGGGGGGCUGCUCCUAGUACGAGAGGACCGGAGUGGACGCAUCACUGGUGUUCGGGUUGUCAUGCCAAUGGCACUGCCCGGUAGCUAAAUGCGGAAGAGAUAAGUGCUGAAAGCAUCUAAGCACGAAACUUGCCCCGAGAUGAGUUCUCCCUGAGACUUAGAGUCUCCUGAAGGAACGUUGAAGACGACGACGUUGAUAGGCCGGGUGUGUAAGCGCAGCGAUGCGUUGAGCUAACCGGUACUAAUGAACCGUGAGGCUUAACCUUACAACGCCGAAG
rnacentral:rRNA from 1 species